GCUGAGUAAAUGAGUUUACCAUACCAGCUUCACUGCUGUUUAUCCCAGAUUGACACUCUAUUGGCCCGUGGUCCCUAAAAUCUGCUGGUCUACAAUGACAAACACAACUUUACCUCCUGCUCUGCGACAUGGCUACUGUCCACUUGAUUCAAAGUAUAGGUGACAUUCUUUUUUAUAACUCAUUCCAAGUCAGAAGGCUAAAGUCCAGGUGUCGUCAUCAGCCACUGGUGCCAAAAUCCAGUUGCAAAUGAUGUUGCAUUUCGUCAAGUCAACUCUUAAGUCAUCGGAUUCAUGACUCAAGGCUGACUCAAUUGUCUUAUGUCCACUUGAGUCCACACUUCUGCAAUAUAAUAACAAUUUGGCUGACAUACUGUCUGAUCAGCACAGUUGGAGCCAACAGAGUUGAAGGGGUUGAAGGGGAAGAUUGUGAGGAAACCUGUGUCAACCACUGACAGUGAAUUUUUGCUAAUAAAUU